rnacentral:rRNA from 1 species
UACGAAGGGGGCUAGCGUUAAUCGGAAUUACUGGGCGUAAAGCGUGCGCAGGCGGUUUUGUAAGCCAGAUGUGAAAUCCCCGGGCUUAACCUGGGAAUGGCAUUUGGGACUGCAAGGCUGGAGUUUGGCAGAGGAGACUGGAAUUCCCGGUGUAGCAGUGAAAUGCGUAGAUAUCGGGAGGAAUACCGAUGGCGAAGGCAGGUCUCUGGGCUAUAACUGACGCUCAUGCACGAAAGCGUGGGGAGCAAACAGG